rnacentral:misc_RNA from 1 species
UUUCCGUAGGUGAACCUGCGGAAGGAUCAUUACUGAGUGAGGGCCCUCUGGGUCCCACCUCCCACCCGUGUUUAUUGUACCUUGUUGCUUCGGUGAGCCCGCCUCACGGCCGCCGGGGGGCAUCUGCCCCCGGGCCCGCGCUCGCCGAAUACACCCCUGAACUCUGUCUGAAUUUUGCAGUCUGAGCGAAAACUAAAUAAGUUAAAACUUUCAACAACGGAUCUCUUGGUUCCG